AAGAUAGGUGAGUCACUUCCUUAGCACAACACUUCUCCUUCAGACACUUUUAAACAGACUUUACACAAACACUUGCUCUUGUGACUACAUGACAGGGUUUCAAUGAUUCUGCUGGUAUGGUGUCUCUGUCAGUGAACCCUUGGUCUGACUGAUGUAUAAGGUCAAAUAGAGUGGGGAUAUCAUUCCCAAGUAUAACUGAAUAUGGCAAAGAGGGGACUACCGCUACCUGCGACAGAACCUAUAAAUGGUGUCUGGACCCCUGGGGAAGUAUUUGUCCAAACACCCUGGAGAGGACACAGAAAAGACAGACACCCACGCCACUUCUUAAUGAGGAGCAGAUGUGCAGAGCCUGGAACAAAAGGCUACAUGCUCAUCACUAAAAUACUCAAUACAUAUUCAAUAAAAAUGUAAACUUGUGUGCAAAUGAUUAUGUGCAAAUCCAUGCCUAAAGUGCAGUGCUAAAUAAAGUGUUUGUUAAAGUGCUAGAUAAAGUGCUUUUAAUAAAGUGCAAAGGCGCUCUUAAAGUGCUA